GAGAUACCCUUAUGGGGCAGGACUUGCUUCAGUGGGGCUUUGGUGCUCACUGAGUCUGCUCCUUGAGUGUGUCACU
rnacentral:pre_miRNA from 1 species